UAAGCCCUAACCCUGAGAUUCUGAUUCCCC
rnacentral:piRNA from 1 species